AUUGAACGCUGGCGGCAGGCUUAACACAUGCAAGUCGAGCGGGGUGAUGGUGCUUGCACUAUCACUUAGCGGCGGACGGGUGAGUAAUGCUUAGGAAUCUGCCUAUUAGUGGGGGACAACAUCUCGAAAGGGAUGCUAAUGCCGCAUACGUCCUACGGGAGAAAGCAGGGGAUCACUUGUGACCUUGCGCUAAUAGAUGAGCCUAAGUCGGAUUAGCUAGUUGGUGGGGUAAAGGCCUACCAAGGCGACGAUCUGUAGCGGGUCUGAGAGGAUGAUCCGCCACACUGGGACUGAGACCCGGCCCAGACUCCUACGGGAGGCAGCAGUGGGGAAUAUUAGACAAUGGGGGGAACCCUGAUCCAGCCAUGCCGCGUGUGUGAAGAAGGCCUUAUGGUUGUAAAGCACUUUAAGCGAGGAGGAGGCUCUUUUGGUUAAUACCCAAGAUGAGUGGACGUUACUCGCAGAAUAAGCACCGGCUAACUCUGUGCCAGCCGCCGCCGUAA
rnacentral:rRNA from 1 species